CCUUUUAUGAAUGGGGGCUGGAGGGGAGCGCGGAUGCGGCUCCCGGGGUUUUUUUUUUUUUCCCUUUUUUUUUUUUGAAUGAAGGGCAGCGGCAGCUGCGCAUGCACCGCGCCCCCCGCCCGGGGCUGGAGGCACUCAUCCGCUUCCAGCCGUUCUGCUCGCGGGAAGAUAAAUGGAGGGGAGGAAUCCUGGGCAUGGCUGCACGGGAGCGGGCUCGCAGCGCGCUGGGUGAUGCACAACAGCUUCUCCAGGCACGUUUCUCCCCCUCCCUCCACGUCUCCUCUGACAGACGUCCCCAGCAGUGAUUUCAGACAAACACCCUAAAGUGGCUACACCAGUGUUCCUCCUGCAGGGCAGUCAGAAGAGACACCCACAAAUGUACCCAGGACCAUCAUUUUAUCCCUGUUUGGGAAUUUCCAUUACUGCUGGGGAAAGGGACUUCUCCUCCUGAGUGAAGAUUCUGGGACGUGACUUGAAGCAAGGCAAGAGAAGCAAAACCUUUGUGUGAACAUCACAGAACAGAAGAAAAAAGUGAUGUACAAAGCAAGAGAAAGAAAUCAGGCUGGUUUCAAACCCUUUGUAGUGCUGGGCUGAGGGGAGACUGCUUCUUCAUCCCACUGCUUUUCCAGACUGCACACUGUGUGUUCCUGCAGGAAUUCUCCUGCCCAGAUUUUUGUCACCUUGUGCAGAUUCUGCUGAGACUCUGGCAGCAGCAGGAUAUUGAAGGAUUUGAGCUGAGGUGUUUGAGCAGUCACAGCCCCCUGCUCUGACCCCUCAUUUCCAGCGCAGACACGGCUCCCUCAGCCCCACAUUUCCUCCAGGUCUGUACAGAGAUUUCCUUCCAUGAAGAAAUGGGAUGAAAGCAGGAAGAGGAGACUUUUUGUAGAGAUGAGCAUGAGCUUCAUCCUGGAGAAUCUGCAGAGUCCAGAAAAGCAGUUUGGAAAACAGCCGGUGUCUGAUUGGAACCCACAGGAGGCGGGAAGGGAGCCCAGAUGCUGUGCCAAAACCUGAAGGCAUCACCAGACCAAUCAAAGAAGGAUGCUGUGGAGGUUGGAGGCUGGGAAGUGAGAAAUGCUGUCACAGAAGUGCCCUCACAGAUGUGACAUCAGGAGGUGCCACAGGUGGGGCCAGAGUCCCACAGAUAUUCCAGGUACAGUCAUGUUUUCAGCCUAGAAACUACAUUUAAAAUCUCCCACAGAUUCAUUCUGUCUUUCACACACAGAGUUCUGUAGUGCUUGGAGAGCAGUGGAUUUAUGAACAGAAAAAGACAAGGCACAGAAUAAAUCUAAAUGCAGGAAGUUGCUUUAAAUGUCAUGUAUUCCCACAGCUAUAUUAUGGAAAAUAUUUUAUAGUCACUGUUUAUAUGUGUUUAUAGAUUGUAAAAAUGUCUCUCUAGGACUGAGUUGUGCUACUGGGAUGGAGCCAGUACCACACUGUGUGGGUUUGCUGUGGUGCUUGGAGUGCCCUGGGAGAGACUGAGGGUGGCAGCUCUGCAGCACACACACUCACACACAUGUACACACACAGACAAUCUCUAAACACUUGGCUCUAAACUCCUUAGUAUUUAAAAAGCUCUGCAAGAGCAGCUGCAAAAAGAGGAAAUUACUCCUGGAAAUGGAUCCCAGAUGCCUGCAGAGAAUAAAAACCUCUGGAAGCUGGAUUGCUAAGGAUGGAUCCCUGGAGAUGAAGAGUGUGGCUGUUGGUGAGAGCACCCCCAGCCUCUGCACCAGCUCUGCUUUAUGCACAGGCUCCAGGCUCUCAGACCCCCCCUUUGACAGAGACUGGGAUUUUGGGAAGUGCUUUCUGGAGUGACAGCCCCCAGCCCCACCAAUUGCCAUGAGACUGGAGAUGCAGCCUCAGAAGCUCUGUGGCUCCUGGUGGUUUCCAGAGCAGGUGAUGCCAAAUACAGACUCAAAAUCUUUCACCAUUAUCAAGUGAAAUUAUUUCGUAGAGUGCCUGGUCCCUACAUUCAUUUUUCUCUCAAGACACCAUAGUGCAGCAGCUCAGCUUCCUUGCCAGCUGCCAGCCUUUCCCUGAAGGAAAGCCCCCAAUCACCCAGGGUGGCACAGGGGGCUCUGCUCCUCCACUGAGCUUUAAUCCACUUCAUCAUUGGGUCAUUUCCUAGAACCAAAGCCUUUCUUGAACCUUUAUCUGCGGGUAAAAGGCACCCAGAAGUCUCCUGGGUUGAUGAUGGGUGGCAUUGAGAAGCAAACACCCCAGAUCCAAGGGCUCUGAGCAGGAUCUCAGCAAACUCUGCAGGCAGGAGUGAGGAGCAGCCUGGAUUCUACCCCAGCCACCUCAAGGGCUGAGGGCAUCUCCAGACAGCCUGACCAGAGCAGCUCAACUGCAAACAGCUUCUUCAUCAUCACUGAUUUCCUCUAAGGUUAUUUUUGCUAUUUUUAGGAAGACUCCAGUGCUUGCCAGCUGCCCUGAGUGCCCCAGCAAAGCUCAUGAACACUUUUCCACUCCCCUUGUCUCCCUGUGUUAAAUACCAUUGCUGUUCUCAGACUUUAUGGCCAUGGAGUUGUUCCUCUACAAACACCACCACUCAUGGCCCUAGCAUUAUACUUCUGGCAGGAACAUGUUAGGUUUUUACGGGAAUUAAAAAGCUCGAGUGAGAGAGAGAGCCUGAACCAAAGACAACAUAAAGGGCCUUAUUUCUUUGGGUAGGAGCCCAACAAUGCUAUUAAACAGCUCAAAGCAGAACAGAAAGCUGUUCAAAUAUGCAAGGCUGAGAGACACCACACUGCAGUGGUUUCUGGGUGCUCCAUGGAGAAAGGAAAAUAUCCCAAGAGGAGAUGGCUGUGAGGGGCAUGGCUGCUGCUGAGCUCUGACCCCCUGCUCACACCAGGACUGCAUCUGGAGCACCUGUGGUUGUGGCUCCUCUCUCCUCCAGCUCUGUGCACAGAGAAAUCCCCACGAGGAGGAUCCCUGGGAGCAGCAGCCAGGAUAACCCUGCUCCAGGAUAACUCCAGGACAGCCCCAGGACAGCCCCAGCUCCAUCUGCAGCAUGGGCAGCUGAGGGCACCCAGCACUUCCUCCUGGAUGCAGGUGUCAGCACCCCAAAGGACCAGAAAUAACUUCUGAAGGUAAAAAAAGCCUUAAGAAGUGAGUUAAACCCAAAUGUUCCUUCAUCCAGGUCAUGCUGAGCCGUGGUGGCUGCGCUGUGCUGCUCCCUGCAGCUCUGAGGGAGAGGAGCCCAGGGCAGGGCUGCAAUAGCUGUGAAAUUCUGAGAAGUUUGGGGUCGGUUCCAAACUUUAUCACUGGCCAAACCAGUGGCUUUGAUGUGAAAUCCCAAACUCUGCGAGCAUCUGACUGUGAGCAUGGAGGGCUGGUUGUGCUGCCAAUGUCAGGCUGUGAGCUCUGAAAUAGCAGCGCACACUGGGAGCCAUGGAAGGAACCUCUGCUCUCUGCCCCAGAGCUGUGCAAACUUCACCCCACAGCACUCGUUUGCAUGACAGAGGUGGUGCUGAUGGAAAUGAGGGGGGUUCCUAAUGGUCCAAAAGUUUUUUGCAUGUCAGAAUUGCCAGGAAUUUUUGCGGAUUUUUUUUUAAUGGCUCCUGUGGCACCGAUUUAGUGGCCAGCAAAGACUCAACCCAGAGGUAGCCAGCUGAGGUGAGCCUUCUUGCCUUGGGUGUGAAAUACCUGGCUACUACACGGAGGAAGGCAGAAGUAUCUCACCUACUGGGUUAAAACCAGACUGGAUUGAUUCAAAUGCAUCAACAUUUUCCUUGGCUUUGGACACAAUCUUUUAUGUAGGGUUGGAAACAAAUGCUCUGCAUGGCCUCUGAUGGAAAUGGUGAUGAAAAGUGCAGCUAAUCACAAUUGUCAUUUAGAUGAUCAGCUAGAGAUCACCCAGAGAGCUCCAGAGAGAUGAGAAGCUGCUAAACCCAGUAGUGUCCUGAGGCUUUGUCCAGCUCUGGGUAAUGAGAUCAGUGUCUCGUGAACCUGGCUCUGGGGAGUUCAGUGGAAACACUCCAGUUGCUUUCACUUUGGAAAGUGUUAUUUUCUCCAUUAAAGCAGAAAUGCAGUGUGUUCCAGGACGUGUGACUCAGCUGGGAUCAGACAGCAUCACCUCCUGAUGGGCUCCCUGCCCAUUCCCACUGUGACUGCAGCCCCCUGAGCAGCUCACACACUCCAUGUGGAAUGGAAAGCAUUUAGAACAGGUGGAAUAUUUUUAGGGAAUUCAGGCUCUGAAUUGCCUUUGCCAGGGGUUCCUGUGGGUUUUGGGGCAGUCUGAGAUCUACCUGGGCAUGUGGAGCAAACACCUCUCAGACAAACAGGAAUUUUACUCAUACCAAGUUGUAGAGAACCAUUUCAUGGGAUGGAUUUCCUCAUCCAGGGGAGGAUUAGACACAGGCAGAGGUUUCCUCAUGCUGCAGGAGCAGCUUGGUGGGUCUGGGGUUAUCAGCGUGGGCAGCCUGCAGGGGCUGCCUCCCCUCCCGAGGCUGGCAGUGCAAGGCAGAGCUCGAAUUCCUUGGCCUGUACAUCCUCUUAGAGGGAUUUAAUAAAUGAUUAGGCAAAGCAUAUGAUAAAUAUGUAAUAGAUCACUCUGUGACUAUCAGUGGAAUGCACUGGCUCGUUUCUAGGCUUGUUUAUGGCCAGGUGAUUUUAUCUCUAGUGAUGUGAUUAACUGCUUAAUGAAGUAUUUAUCAGCCAGGUUUUACCCUUUGCAAGUGGAAUAUGUUGUGUGAAGUGCAACCAAAAGCAUAAAAAUCCAUUUAACUAAUUCCUGCUGUCAUCAUCUGCUGCUCUCCACCAGAAAGCAGCCAUCCCACCCAGUCUCACUGGAUUUGUGGCAGGAAGAACAGAGGGGCUGUAAAGCUGAAACUUCAGCAGUUUCCUGAGAGGUGUCACUAAUGACCAACACAGCAGCAUCAGAGAGGGACAGGGUUAUCCCAGCCCUGUGCCCUCAGGGAUGCCCAAGGGGAGCCCCAUCCCUGCCCCAAGCCAGGUGUGGCUUUUCCAGAGCUCUGAGCCCGGGACAGCCAGGGCAGCCUCCCACCAGGCUGUGCUGUCCGUGGGGAGGCAGGAAAACCAAGGCAUCCUCCCCUUUCUAAUUACCUCCCCUUUCUAAUUACCUCCCACCCACGGCCCUUGGCCAUCCGGUGAUUAACUUAAUUGCAGCUCCAGCCCCAGGAGCAAAUGCAGCCCCAGAGCAGGAGCUGUGCCAGGAGGGCCUUGUCCCUGUGUCCUGUCUGGGCUCAGAGCAAGAGCAGGGACACGAGCAGGAGCAGCCCUGGCUGCACACACAGACCCAUGGAUCCCACUGGACCUGUCCUGGAUUGGAGCCCUCCCUCCCGGAGCCAGCCAGGUGUGUGGAUGGAAGAACACCUGGACCUGGGUGUGUGGGACCUUCUACAUGGGGAGAACAGCUGGACCUGGGUGUGUGGGACCUGCUGGGUGGAAGAACACCUGGACAGGGAAUCACCAAAGCCCAGUCCCUACAGCUGAGGAUGGGCUGGAGGAUGUGCUCACCCAGGGGACACCUCUGGCAAUGCAAGCACCUCGGGCUUCCCCUUCCCUCCAGGAUGCAGCAGGUCCUGUCUGCCCUUCCCAGGUGCCCCUUCCCUCUCCCAGCCUUGUGCCAAGGCCAGUGCCAAGCCUGGUCCCUGCUCCUGUGCUCUGCUCCCUCCCAGCACGUGGGGCUGGCUGGAGCAGCCACUGACAGGUGCCACGAGUGACACCAGUUCUCAUCCCUGUCACCCGAGGAGGAGGAGGGUGGCUCUGUGCUGCUGAGGACUCAGGGAUGAUGCACCAGGCACAGGACCCUUAUUUGGGGUUUGCCACCUCAGUAUGGGCAGGCCUGUGGGCACCUCUCCUGCCUGGACCUGCCUGUGCCUGGCUUCCCAGUGACCUCUCCGCUGUCCCCGUGCAGUGACACUGACACUGCAGUGACCUCUCCCCUGUCCCUGUGCCGUGACACUGCACUGACCUCUCCCCUGUCCCCGUGCAGUGACACUGCACUGACCUCUCCGCUGUCCCCAUGCAGUGACACUGCAGUGACCUCUCCCCUGUCCCCGUGCAGUGACCUCUCCCCUGUCCCCGUGCAGUGACACUGCAGUGACCUCUCCGCUGUCCCUGUGCAGUGACACUGCAGUGACCUCUCCCCUGUCCCUGUGCAGUGACACUGCAGUGACCUCUCCGUUGUCCCCGUGCAGUGACACUGCAGUGACCUCUCCGCUGUCCCCGUGCCACCCCUGCUGUCCAUGCAGGACACGGGCACAGUGCCAGGCUGCAGAGCCCACUGUGGCUGUCUGGGCUGAAGCUGCAGGUGUGGCUGCCCCGCACGCCCACGGACAGACAGACAGACAGACGGACCAUGCCAAAUGACAAACUGCAGCCCAGGAGUUCCCUCUGUGCUGUGAAUCCCAGCAGUGGCCUGGCUCUCCUGCUGCACCGUGUCCCCUGUGAGCCCUGCAGUGCCACCCCUCUGCUGAGCACCAUUCAGGGAGGCAGAGGAUGCUGGAAUCGAGGGUUUCAUCCCCAGGCCAAGUGAAAGCCCACAUCCAUCCUGGUGGUUAACCAUCUGCAGACACAGC